rnacentral:misc_RNA from 1 species
GAUGAAGAACGUAGCGAAAUGCGAUAAGUAAUGCGAAUUGCAGAAUUCAGUGAGUCAUCGAAUCUUUGAACGCACAUUGCGCCCUGUGGUAUUCCGCAGGGCAUGCCUGUUCGAGCGUCAUUUCAACCCUCAAGCCCCGCUUGGUGUUGGGCCCCGCCCGCUGUGGCCGGCCCUAAAGACAGUGGCGGCGCCGCCUGGCCCUCAGCGUAGUACAUCUCUCGCUCCAGGGUCCGGUGGCCGCCUGCCAGAACCCCCCAACUCUGUGGUUGACCUCGGAUCAGGUAGGGAUACCCGCUGAACUUAAGCAUAUCAAUAAACGGAGGA